CUUAACCACAAAUAAUUUAUUACUCAGGAGUGAAUAUUUUUAAAAUUAUGUAGACAUUGCGAUUAUAGUACUUAGUCUUUUCCUAACAAAAAGACAACCAUUCUCAAGUAUCUUAUUACAGUUAUUCAUUGAUUAACAAUUAAUUGAACAGCUUCUAUGUUAUAGUCCCUAGGCAUAUGGCAAUGAACUAGAUUGUUAUACAAAGUCCCUGCUGCCAUGGAGAUUACAUUCUACAGGAGUGGACAUAGACAAUAAAUGAAUAAACAAAUAAAUAAAUGAGAUAAUUUCAGAUAAUGAUAAAGCCUUGAAGCCCAGGUGAUAGACAAAAAGUGACAAUGGAUGUGGGUGUAGUUUUUUAAACAUUUUUCUUCUUAAAUUUGGUUUAAAUGUAAACAUUUACCAAAGUGAUAAAUAUCUGCAGUUUAGUCAGAUAGUACCAUAAGUAUUUAUUAAUAGCAUUUAUUACAAAAAAACCCAGAAAUCUCCAUCUGCUUCUUCCCCUUAUUCUCAGAGCAGGCUGUUCAGAAGCAGGCUCUUUGAAGUGACAUUUGAGCAGAGAAGCGAAUGACAAAAAGGAACUGCUUAAGUAACAUCUGGAUAAAGAGCUUUCCAGACAGGGGCAAUGGCAAGAGCAGAGAGCCUCAGACAGCAAUGAGGGUCCCCAGUGUUGCUAGAGCCAGGGAGCAAGGGAGAAGGCCUAGGAAAUGAUGCAGUAUAUCUUUUUCAUAGUAGCUUCCAUGAAUAGACUGGAUCGUGGGUGUAGAGAGGGGAGAGUGAUAGCAGAGAGGAAAUAUGAGAUUGAGGGAUGAUGGUGGCUUGGACUAGGGUAUUAGCAGUGACAAACUCCAAUGCAGUUUAAGACACACAGCACUUAGACCUGUUGAUGGCUGGGAUAUACAGGGGGGACAGGGUAAGAAAGACUCCAAUUUUGGAGCAACAGGGUUCAGAUGAUUAGGAAAGUGUUGUGUAUAUUUGUCACUGUUUUGCCUGCUCGGCAUCCAAAUCUCCUUCUGCGAUCAUAGAAUCUACUUACUAUGUAAAUUCUAAGAAAGGAUGCAAGCUAAUUCCUCUCUGCCUCCUGGAAGCUGGAGUACAAUCUCAUGCUUCUGUCUGGGACUGUGAAUCAGGAGUAAUGGAGAAUGAGGAUGUUUUCUAACUAACUCCAGUGGGGAGUACAUGAGGCUGCUUAGUGACAGUGACAGCAACAGCAGUGUCAUAACCAGGUAUGGCCUUGAUUGCUGUCAUUCUGACGACCUAGCCUCUCUUAGUUUCUGUUUCUUUUCCAAGUCUAUUUCUCAAGCUUGCCCAUUAAAAAAAAUUUAAAAAGAGGUAUGACAUAUAAAGGGCACAAAUCUUAAGUAUGCAACCUGAUAUGUAAACACCUAUGAAACCACCACCUAGACCAAAAUAUAAAAGACUUUCAGCACCCUCAAAGUCUUCCCUUUGAUACACUAUUUUCUCAACAAAUUCAAUUUCUGCCUGAGUUAGCAAGUCCAUUUCAGGCUGAGGCAGAAUGCAAUCAAGAAAUCUGACUUGUGGCACUUCAGUGUUUAUCACAUAUGACCCUUUUGCAUUCAGAGUGAAAAUUGGUCAGGAAAAACAGCAAAAGAGCAUUUUUGUACCAAAGUCCUCAAGUGAGUAAGCCUCAAAUUAAGACUUGUUAUUAUUAAUCAUAAUACAACUUUAUCAUACCAAAGUACCUAAAAAUUGAUAUAUUUAAUUUAUAAAAUCUUAACCAUCAAACUCAAUCUGUGGUCUGGAAACUAAAUUCUUUUCAGGGACCCUACCAGUACUCAACCUUGUUUCUUUAGGGUCCCUAACAUGUAAAGCUACAUAAUCUAAAAUUUUCCAGACAGUUAUUUAUUUUUCAUUUUUUAUUUUUUGAGACGGAGUCUCGC
rnacentral:lncRNA from 1 species